GGGGGGAAUGCCCGAUUGAUCGGCGGCCACGGGAUAGAAAAUCCCCGUGUCGGGGGUUCGAUUCCCUCCCCGGCCACCA
rnacentral:tRNA from 1 species